AUGUGACACUUUUCAGAUUUCGAGAUUCAAAUGAGUCUAUCUUUGACCGUAAAUUUUUCAUAUAUAUUUUAAUUAUUUUGAAUUGUCAAUUAUUGUUACUUGUAGUACUUUUUAUGUAGUUUAUAAAUAUAUAAAUUUCAUUUCAAAAAAAUUGAAUAUUUCGUGAACAAAUUUCUGGUCAAACUUAAACCGUUUGACUCUCGAAGAACGAAAAGUGUCACAUAU
rnacentral:pre_miRNA from 1 species